AUGAACGCUGGCGGCGUGCCUAAUACAUGCAAGUCGAGCGAACAGACGAGGAGCUUGCUCCUCUGACGUUAGCGGCGGACGGGUGAGUAACACGUGGAUAACCUACCUAUAAGACUGGGAUAACUUCGGGAAACCGGAGCUAAUACCGGAUAAUAUAUUGAACCGCAUGGUUCAAUAGUGAAAGACGGUUUUGCUGUCACUUAUAGAUGGAUCCGCGCCGCAUUAGCUAGUUGGUAAGGUAACGGCUUACCAAGGCGACGAUGCGUAGCCGACCUGAGAGGGUGAUCGGCCACACUGGAACUGAGACACGGUCCAGACUCCUACGGGAGGCAGCAGUAGGGAAUCUUCCGCAAUGGGCGAAAGCCUGACGUAGCAACGCCGCGUGAGUGAUGAAGGUCUUCGGAUCGUAAAACUCUGUUAUUAGGGAAGAACAAAUGUGUAAGUAACUAUGCACGUCUUGACGGUACCUAAUCAGAAAGCCACGGCUAACUACGUG
rnacentral:rRNA from 1 species